GAUCUUCACAAGUUCGCAAGAACCAGUAGUAAAACCGGCAGGGCCCCGCCCACUGCCCCAGAUGUCGUCACCUGCGAUCUGCUCAUACGAUCCCGUUGCAAACCGGUAGUAAAGGAGGAGCAUAAACAUUAAUUUUGUUUCCUCUACACCACAUGAUGUAUAUGGAAUCCAUCCAGGUCAUGCUACUCUCUACAGGGUUUAAACAUGCAACAUCCUAAGAUCCAUGGAAAACAGAACUAAUUCAGCCUCCAUUAGAAGAACAAGAGAUCUGAGUUUAUUAUCGGAUUCUAUGAAGUGGUUAUGUGUUUAUUAUAAAAAAGAUUCUAAUUUUGUUCCUCAUCUAAGAUAACCAGUAAAAGACUCAGAUAUACUUUAAGCAGCUUUUGGAAAACAACAACUUUUGGAUAUUUAGCUUAAGGCAAACACUCUAAUUGGAAAUUCCCAUUUUACAAAUUUCCUCAUUGCAAUUUAUCCAUCUGUUUGUUUUUCAUGUGCUAUAUCCUGUUUAAUGUUUGGGAUGAAAACUAGAUUGCUUGUAUGCAUUGAUCUUUCUAGGCUAUUUCUCAUCUAGACCAGGGUUAAUACAAUUCAGGUAUGCUAAUACAUGGAAGCUAAAAGUUCAAGAGCAACCAUUAUUCAUGUCAUGCUAUUGACGCUUUGUUUCUAACAAGAGGGAAACUGUUGUCAGCAUUCAAAACUUUAUCUCCAAUCAUAACAACUUUUAAGAAUAUUUAAUAGUGAAUCCAGGUUAGGAAGCAGGACCAUACUGUCUUUAACUUCAUUCAGAAAUGAAUUAUGCUGCUCAAAUAUUUCAAGCAGCAAAAGGUGACUGUUUUUUUACUUGCAGAGCAGGGGUGGUGGUGUGCUUUUAAGUUCUUAUUCUAUUCUUUUUUUCUUUGAUUCUUUUUUUAAAAUGUCCAUUGUUCAAACAACUAGAGUGGCAUCUUAUGUUAACUUGCCUCCCAGCCUACAUGGCAUCUAAUAAAUACUGCAGAUUUUAAGAGAUAAUUUGUUCAGCUUCUGCACUUUUCAAGUUUGCCAUUUUGUUCUCUGAACAAAUUCUUAAUUAUCUCUGAGCAUCUGAAACACUCAACAAAUCUUCCAGCAACCGAGAAUUAUUUCUGGGCAUAAUGUGUAGAUCUAAUCUCAGAGGAGGUUAUCGGCAUUGGAAGGGCUUCCCCCCUCUCCUCCUGCAAUACUGUAUGCCUUGGCACUUCAAUAGGUUGUUGUUAUUAAGUUAAAUAUAUGAAUCAUCAUCAUCAUCAUCAUCAUCAUCAUCAUCAUUAUCAUCAUCAUCAUUGUCACUUGGAACACAAUUGUCACAGAUCAUCACUUGGAACACAACAUGCUAGAUAUCACAGUGGUUGAAAACCGAAACAUACCAUUUACUGACUUCACGGUACCAGGAGAUGCCAGAGU